rnacentral:rRNA from 1 species
GACGAACGCUGGCGGCGUGCUUAACACAUGCAAGUCGAACGGAAAGGCCCCUUCGGGGGUACUCGAGUGGCGAACGGGUGAGUAACACGUGAGUAACCUGCCCUUGACUUCGGGAUAACUUCAGGAAACUGGGGCUAAUACCGGAUAGGAAUCCUUGCUGCAUGGUGGGGGGUGGAAAGCUGCGGCGGUUUUGGAUGGACUCGCGGCUUAGCAGCUUGUUGGGGGGGUAGUGGCUUACCAAGGCCUUGACGGGUAGCCGGCCUGAGAGGGCGACCGGCCACAUUGGGACUGAGAUACGGCCCAGCCUCCUACGGGCGGCAGCCGUGGGGAAUAUUGCACAAUGGGCGGAAGCCUGAUGCAGCAACGCCGCGUGCGGGAUGACGGCCUUCGGGUUGUAAACCGCUUUCAGCAGGGGCGAAGCUUGUGGUGACGGUACCUGCAGAAGAAGCACCGGCUAACUACGUG